rnacentral:rRNA from 1 species
UACGUAGGGGGCAAGCGUUGUCCGGAAUCAUUGGGCGUAAAGAGCGUGUAGGCGGCCUGAUAAGUCGGCUGUGAAAGUCAAGGGCUCAACCCUUGAAUGCCGGCCGAUACUGUCAGGCUAGAGUCCGGAAGAGGCGAGUGGAAUUCCUGGUGUAGCGGUGAAAUGCGCAGAUAUCAGGAGGAACACCGGUGGCGAAGGCGGUUCUCUGGGCCUUACCUGACGCUGAGGAGCGACAGCGUGGGGAGCAAACAGG